GACGUAGGGUGCGAGCGUUGUCCGGAUUUAUUGGGCGUAAAGAGCUCGUAGGCGGUUUGUCGCGUCUGCUGAUGAAAGCCUAAGGCUCAACCUUGGGCUUGCAGUGGGUACGGGCAGACUAGAGUGCGGUAGGGGUGACUGGAAUUCCUGGUGUAGCGGUGGAAUGCGCAGAUAUCAGGAGGAACACCGGUGGCGAAGGCGGGUCUCUGGGCAACAACUGACGCUGGAGGAGCGAAAGCGUGGGGAGCGAACAGG
rnacentral:rRNA from 1 species